AGUGAACGCUGGCGGUAGGCCUAACACAUGCAAGUCGAACGGCAGCACAGUAAGAGCUUGCUCUUACGGGUGGCGAGUGGCGGACGGGUGAGGAAUACAUCGGAAUCUACUUUUUCGGGGGGGAUAACGUAGGGAAACUUACGCUAAUACCGCAUACGACCUACGGGUGAAAGCAGGGGAUCUUCGGACCUUGCGCGAUUGAAUGAGCCGAUGCCGGAUUAGCUAGGUGGCGGGGUAAAGGCCCACCAAGGCGACGAUCCGUAGCUGGUCUGAGAGGAUGGUCAGCCCCACUGGAACUGAGACACGGUCCAGACUCCUACGGGAGGCAGCAGUGGGGAAUAUUGGACCAUGGGCGCAAGCCUGAUCCAGCCAUCCCGCGUGGGUGAAGAAGGCCUUCGGGUUGUAAAGCCCUUUUGUUGGGAAAGAAAAGCAGCAGGUUAAUACCCCGCUGUUCUGACGGUACCCAAAGAAUAAGCACCGGCUAACUUCGUG
rnacentral:rRNA from 1 species